UAACUUACUUGGCGGUUUAGGGUGAUCAAGAAUCCUUUAACCCCAGGUGGCGGCUCACCAUUGCACCUUGGUGGGUUGAGACUCUUGACGGCAUCUAAUCGGGUGCUCUCAGGCAUGAAGUUUCUUUGCGACAGUGGCACAACGUUUGGGAUGCUCGCCGA
rnacentral:snRNA from 15 species